GGCUGCCAUAGCAACGGCGCCGGGCUCCGCCUCCGGAGGGGUUUGUUUGCACAAUCUGCAGCUGUUGCUCCUGCCUGGCUGGUGGCGCCGGCCGGCUCCCCCGGCCUCGCUCCAGCAUCUCCCGCGCUGCACGGCGGACCUGCGGGCCUGAGUUGGGCGCCAUCCCCACUGAAGCUACUUUUAAGAGAGACGGAGUGGAUACGUCUUGGAAACGUGGUGUCACUUUCUGUUAAGUUCUCGAUGACUGAGAUUUACGUCCGAGGUUACAAAUUUCGGUUUUUUAUCCUUUUGUAGGCUGAAGGGGAUACUAAAGGAGAUAAAGCCAAGGUGAAGGACGAGCCACAGAGAAGAUCUGCAAGGUUGUCUGCUAAACCUGCUCCUCCAAAGCCAGAGCCCAAGCCUAAAAAGGCCCCUGCAAAGAAGGGAGAGAAGGUCCCCAAAGGGAAGAAGGGGAAAGCCGAUGCCGGGAAGGAUGCGAAUAAUCCUGCAGAGAACGGAGACGCCAAAACAGACCAGGCACAAAAAGCUGAAGGUGCUGGAGAUGCCAAGUGAAAUGUGUGCAUUUUUGAUAACUG